UUGCUAAAAUAUUGUGGUAGAAUCAAAUGAGCAUCAUCUUAUCUUCAUAUUCUUUUUUCUAACAGUUAGUUGAAACUUCCCACAAUUUGAUUAAUUCAAACUUCGGCAACUGAGACAUAUUUUCAAUACUCCUCUUUGGAUCAGAUGCUACACAUUCAAGAUUAAUUCUUAGAACUUCAAAUUUGGCUUUAGGCAUGCUUUUGGUCAUAAUAUCGGCAUAUUGCAUAUUUGGUAUGGCUUUGGUCAUAGCAUUAUGGCAUUUUUUUGAGAACAUUAAGGGAUAUUUUGUUGUCAUUUGCAUUUGCAUUUAGGAGUGUGCAUUAUUCGGUUAUAACCG
rnacentral:misc_RNA from 1 species